CUUGCUGUGGGCAAAUAAAAUGGAUGUGAGCAUCGAUACCUCCAGCUGUAGCAAUCAAUCCUUCCCCGGCAAUGGCUUCUGUAGAAGGGCCAAUGAUGAUAUCUACGCCUGACUGAAUAUCAGGGUUACCGGCUUUACCAACACCGACAAUACGACCCUCUUUUAUUCCAAUAUCCGCCUUGACAAUGCCCCAGUGAUCCAAAAUCAAGGCGUUGGUGAUGACCACGUCGACGGCAUCUUUUGAGACCCGUUGACUUUGCCCCAUACCAUCUCG
rnacentral:sRNA from 1 species